rnacentral:rRNA from 1 species
UACAGAGGUCUCAAGCGUUGUUCGGAUUCAUUGGGCGUAAAGGGUGUGUAGGUGGCGCCGUAAGUCGGGUGUGAAAUUUCGGAGCUUAACUCCGAAACUGCAUCCGAUACUGCGGUGCUUGAGGACUGGAGAGGAGACUGGAAUUCAUGGUGUAGCAGUGAAAUGCGUAGAGAUCAUGAGGAAGACCAGUGGCGAAGGCGGGUCUCUGGACAGUUCCUGACACUGAGACACGAAGGCCAGGGGAGCAAACGGG